rnacentral:rRNA from 1 species
GACGAACGCUGGCGGCGUGCUUAACACAUGCAAGUCGUACGAGAAAGUCUGCUUCGGCAGAUUAGUAAAGUGGCGCACGGGUGAGUAACGCGUGGAUAAUCUACCUCCCAGCGGGGAAUAACCCAUCGAAAGGUGGGCUAAUACCUCAUAACACUAUCCUUACUCCGGUGGGAUAGUCAAAGACGGCCUCUGCUUGCAAGCUGUCACUGGAAGAUGAGUCCGCGUACCAUUAGCUAGUUGGUAGGGUAAUGGCCUACCAAGGCUGCGAUGGUUAGCUGGUCUGAGAGGAUGAUCAGCCACACUGGAACUGAGACACGGUCCAGACUCCUACGGGAGGUAGCAGUGAGGAAUCUUGCGCAAUGGGGGCAACCCUGACGCAGCAACGCCGCGUGAGUGAGGAAGGUCUUCGGAUCGUAAAGCUCUGUCGGGUGGGAAGAAACGUAUGGAAGCUAAUACCUUUCAUGCUUGACGGUACCACCAAAGGAAGCACCGGCUAACUCCGUGCCAGCAGCCGCCGUAAAAC